AUACUUACUUGGAAUGAAAGAAAUCAUGACUAUGAAGAUGGUUUUCCCAGGACAAGGGCUUAUCUUUUGCACUCCAGAUGUGCUAACUCCACUUAUUUCCCCCAAAUGUAGAAAAUUGGACUGCAUAAUUGUGGUAGUGGGUGCUGAAUUUAUGCUUUCCCCUA